ensembl:lincRNA G630016G05Rik RIKEN cDNA G630016G05 gene
GCCGCCACCAGGCAGCUGGCAGCGCGACCCAGCCACGCACUGGGAGCGCGCCCUCUCCCCAACUUCUCACCCUCGCCCUGGGUUCCGGGCCCCAGGCCCAGAGAAUAGCAAACAGAAAGAACUUCAAGAUUACAAAUAUCCGUCUCAUUUGAUGCUGAAUUACUCGUGGACAGAUAAGAAAAGUGCUUUUGAUAUCAACAACCUGAGGCAAGUGAAGUGGAAGUUUCUGGAUAUGUCAGGUGAUGCAGAUUCGACUCACAUGGUCUUUUGCUGAUACAGACUCAUUUGCCAUCUGAGGCAAGACCCCUGGGAGGACACAUGAUGCUUGGAGAGAGUAUAAAUAGGACUCAACGUGUAGUGAUGGAGUGCUUGCAUAGCUAGCUUUGCAAUGCUUUCGUGGCCUCAGUCUUCCUCUUCACUUCAUGGAGAUUGGCAUGUCAGAUAACUUCUCCUGUUGUCCCAUCUGGACCUGGUUACUCCUGCUGACUCCUGACAAUUUGGUGGAGGCCUGGCAGUUUCUGCUGGACCGUGCCACUGCUACUGAUUCAUGUUUGGUAUCCUGACACUACUGAACUGGACUGCUGGUAUCCUACAACGGAGAUUGGAACUGCCUCAAAGAACUACUUCUAAACAGUGCUGCCAAACUGGAGUGAUUUUCCACAGAUGUGAUAGAACCCUGUUUCUGCCAAUUCAUAAGACAUAGUUGAUUUGCUUGUCUUCUACCCAAUGAAGCACUAAGAAGCAUAUCUCCUACUGUAUGUAAUUAUAUUUUCUUUUAUUAAAAAAGUUAAAUGGU